rnacentral:rRNA from 1 species
AUUGAACGCUGGCGGCAUGCCUUACACAUGCAAGUCGAACGGUAACGCGGGGCAACCUGGCGACGAGUGGCGAACGGGUGAGUAAUGCAUCGGAACGUGCCCAGUAGUGGGGGAUAGCCCGGCGAAAGCCGGAUUAAUACCGCAUACGACCUACGGGUGAAAGGGGGGGAUCGCAAGACCUCUCGCUAUUGGAGCGGCCGAUGUCAGAUUGGGUAGUUGGUGGGGUAAAGGCCCACCAAGCCGACGGUCUGUAGCUGGUCUGAGAGGACGACCAGACAGACGGGGACUGGAACACGGCCCAGACCCCUACGGGAGGCAGAAGUGGGGAAGUUUGAACAAUGGGCGCAAGCCUGAUCCAGCCAUGCCGCGUGCGGGAAGAAGGCCUUCGGGUUGUAAACCGCUUUUGUCAGGGAAGAAAUCUUUUGAGUUAAUACCUCGGAAGGAUGACGGUACCUGAAGAAUAAGCACCGGCUAACUACGUGCCAGCCGCCGCCGUAA